rnacentral:rRNA from 1 species
UACGGGGGGAGCAAGCGUUGUUCGGAUUUACUGGGCGUAAAGGGCGCGUAGGCGGUCGUGACAAGUCACUUGUGAAAUCUCCGGGCUUAACUCGGAAAGGUCAACUGAUACUGUGCGGCUAGAGUGCAGAAGGGGCAACUGGAAUUCUUGGUGUAGCGGUGAAAUGCGUAGAUAUCAAGAGGAACACCUGCGGCGAAGGCGGGUUGCUGGGCUGACACUGACGCUGAGGCGCGAAAGCUAGGGGAGCGAACGGG